GGGGAAAGAAAAAAUUACAAUUUCUUAGAAAUGACACAGAGAAGGGAGGUUAGAGCAAGGGGGCUGUAGCUUAACACUGACUUCUGGCUAUCUGGCCCAACUUACUCCCCUAGCAAUGUCUGACUGGAAAUUUAAGAGAGAAAGAAUUCUAAGUUCAUGUGUGGUAGAGAAGAUGUUUAUCCUCACGGAUGUUCUUUUACACAGAUUACUCAAAUGCCAAGUGUUUCUUGCCAAAACAUAUUAAGGUGCA
rnacentral:lncRNA from 1 species